AACACUAUACUUUCAGAGAUCAUUUCUAUAGUUCAUUACUAGAAAAGUUUCUCUGAAUGUAUAUUGUACUGGAAACCACAAGGAGGUGUAGCAUUCUUUCCUCAGCGUGAAGUCAGCUCUUGGUGUUGCUUUGCUGAAACCGCCAUUUGCCGAGGAUAAUCGUUCUCUCCCUACGGCUGAAGGAAGAGGAAGAGGACGCAGGCUCAGUGGU
rnacentral:snoRNA from 1 species